rnacentral:rRNA from 2 species
ACGGAAGGCAGCAGUGGGGAAUAUUGCACAAUGGGCGAAAGCCUGAUGCAGCGACGCCGCGUGAGUGAAGAAGUAUCUCGGUAUGUAAAGCUCUAUCAGCAGGGAAGAAAAUGACGGUACCUGACUAAGAAGCCCCGGCUAACUACGUGCCAGCAGCCGCGGUAAUACGUAGGGGGCAAGCGUUAUCCGGAUUUACUGGGUGUAAAGGGAGCGUAGACGGUUUGGCAAGUCUGAAGUGAAAUGCGGGGGCUCAACUCCUGAACUGCUUUGGAAACUGUCGAACUAGAGUGCAGGAGAGGUAAGUGGAAUUCCUAGUGUAGCGGUGAGAUGCGUAGAUAUUAGGAGGAACACCAGUGGCGAAGGCGGCUUACUGGACUGUAACUGACGUUGAGGCUCGAAAGCGUGGGGAGCAAACAGGAUUAGAUACCCUGGUA